AUGUAAUGAAAUGCUCUACUUUC
rnacentral:piRNA from 1 species